rnacentral:rRNA from 1 species
CACGUAGGGGGCGAGCGUUGUUCGGAUUUACUGGGCGUAAAGGGCACGUAGGCGGUCUAGUAAGCCUGACGUGAAAGGCUAUGGCUCAACCAUGGCACUGCGUUGGGAACUGCUGGACUUGAAUCAUGGAGAGGGAGCUGGAAUUCCAGGUGUAGGGGUGAAAUCUGUAGAUAUCUGGAAGAACACCAAUGGCGAAGGCAAGCUCCUGGCCAAUGAUUGACGCUGAGGUGCGAAAGUGUGGGGAUCAAACAGGAUUAGAGACCCUGGUAGUCCACACUGUCAACGAUGUGCACUAGGUGCUGGGACGGACGUUUCAGUGCCGGAGCUAACGCGGUAAGUGCACCGCCUGGGGAGUAUGCUCGCAAGGGUGAA